UGGUAGUNCACGCCGUAAACGAUGAGUGCUAGGUGUUAGGCCCUUUCCGGGGCUUAGUGCCGGAGCUAACGCAAUAAGCACUCCGCCUGGGGAGUACGACCGCAAGGUUGAAACUCAAAGGAAUUGACGGGGGCCCGCACAAGCGGUGGAGCAUGUGGUUUAAUUCGAAGCAACGCGAAGAACCUUACCAGGUCUUGACAUCCCGAUGCUAUUCUUAGAGAUAGGAAGUUACUUCGGUACAUCGGAGACAGGUGGUGCAUGGUUGUCGUCAGCUCGUGUCGUGAGAUGUUGGGUUAAGUCCCGCAACGAGCGCAACCCUUAUUGUUAGUUGCCAUCAUUAAGUUGGGCACUCUAGCGAGACUGCCGGUAAUAAACCGGAGGAAGGUGGGGAUGACGUCAAAUCAUCAUGCCCCUUAUGACCUGGGCUACACACGUGCUACAAUGGUCGGUACAACGAGUUGCGAGCCGGUGACGGCAAGCUAAUCUCUGAAAGCCGAUCUCAGUUCGGAUUGGAGGCUGCAACUCGCCUCCAUGAAGUCGGAAUCGCUAGUAAUCGCGGAUCAGCACGCCGCGGUGAAUACGUUCCCGGGCCUUGUACACNCCGCCCGUCACACCACGAGAGUUUGUAACACCCGA
rnacentral:rRNA from 1 species